rnacentral:lncRNA from 1 species
ACAGAUAUUGUCUCUAUUUCCUCAAUUCCAUUGAUUUCCUUUCAUCUCUUUCCCCAGUGCACAUGAAAUGUAGAAAAAUCUGCCAUAGUGGGUCACUCAUUCUAGAGAUGCUCAUCUUUUGCUCUUUGAUGUGGUUGGUGAUUCUUCACAAAAUGAAAGUGAACUAGAAAAUCUACAUGGGGGAUGAAGAAAGAACAUAAAAUCAUGUUUAUCAGUAAAGAACAGAGAAAGCACACAUGUUCUCUACGUAUUUUUUAUUUUAUUUUUUAGUACCAGGAAUCAAACUCAGGACCUUGUGCUUGCAAGGCAGGUGGUGGAACCACUGAGCUAAAUCACUGGCCCUUAUGUAUCAUUUAUUUACUUUUAGCUUAUAACGAAUGUUGUGGAAAAGUAACACAUCAGGCA